rnacentral:rRNA from 1 species
GAAGUAGCUUGCUACUAGACGACGACCGGCGCACGGGUGAGUAACGCGUAUGUAAUCUGCCUUGUACAGAGGGAUAGCCCAGAGAAAUUUGGAUUAAUACCUCAUAGUAUUACUGGAUCGCAUGAUUUGGUAAUUAAAGCUCCGGCGGUACAAGAUGAACAUGCGUGACAUUAGCUAGUUGGUAAGGUAACGGCUUACCAAGGCUACGAUGUCUAGGGGUUCUGAGAGGAUGAUCCCCCACACUGGUACUGAGACACGGACCAGACUCCUACGGGAGGCAGCAGUGAGGAAUAUUGGUCAAUGGACGCAAGUCUGAACCAGCCAUCCCGCGUGAAGGAUGACUGCCCUAUGGGUUGUAAACUUCUUUUAUAUGCAAAUAAACCUACUUUCGUGAAAGUAGCUGAAGGUAGCAUAUGAAUAAACACCGGCUAACUCCGUGCCAGCAGCCGCGGUAAUACGGAGGGUGUAAGCGUUAUCCGGAUUUAUUGGGUUUAAAGGGUACGUAGGCGGUAAUAUAAGUCAGUG